rnacentral:tRNA from 1 species
AAGGAUCAUUAAGUAGUUAUUGAAAAACUGGAGAGGCCAAGAGAGAACACUACGGUAUUCUGGAAAUUACAGGUAGCAACUGCCAUGGUUCUGGCUGGGGGAGCAGAGGGAAAAGUUGGAAUUCAUCACUUGGAAGCUUGGAAUGGGAGCUGAAACUCAGACUUGUGAAAGGGGUCACUUCUCAGCCUGUUCUGAUGGCUCUGUUCUCAAAGGACGGCCCCUGGGGCUGUGGUCCAGAACCCUGACGAGACCCUAGCUGACUGGUGCUGGCGUUUCUGAGGGCCACUGUGAGGCUAGUCCUGCAGGUGUUGGAAAAACUGCAUGCUAGAUCAACUGCUGUGACUGCAGCAAACUGCCAGGGUGAGACAUGAGACUCAGGUGAUGCUGAAGGAACAGGAGGCAAAAAAGAAGCAGUCUCCUUAUCCUGCUGGCAUUCCCUCUCGGCAGAGCUCAAGGCAGCCAACUGGCAGAGCAGAAAUGUGGUUUGCAGAGGCCCAGUCCCAGGAUCACAGAACAGAACAGAGGAAGGGGGUAGGCUGAAGUUGAGAGACAGUAGCUUAAUAAUUAGCAGAGGGUUCUUAUUCCAGAGGUCAGGCCACCAGUCUGAGAAUCUACCAAUAAAUAUUUAUCCAAUGAUGCACUAAGAACUAGGGAAAUGACCAUAGGGAAUGUUCACAAACACACUGGAACCCUAAGGCAGACUUGACCCCAGACCACGGAUCACCUAGCCUUCAGUGCCCCCUCUAUAACAUGGGGGCCUAAUGGUAUCGGGCCCCUAAGUAUUAGUGUCAAACCACAUUCUGAACCUCAUAGCCCUUGCAAAAUCAUGUGGAUAUUUUUCUUUCUUUGAUGUACCAUUACUCAGGUGAAUGGCUCUGUCACCUUGGGAAUCACUGCCGUGGACAUUAGCUGCAGCAUUUCAGAGUUCUCCACAAAUGGACCCAGCCACUCCUUCAACUGAUUGGCUCUAGAUCUUCUGAGAAGAGGCUCUGGAAACUGAUUGAAGGAGCAUGACUUUCCACUGGGGUAGCUGACAAGAAAUACCCUUGUCGUCUGGCCAUCUAGCUCAUCCUCAGGGACACCAUGGCAGCCCCAGCUGCCAUUGUGACCUUGUCUCUAUAAUGAUAAUGAUUGCCUGGCCUCUGAUGGCCAAGUUCUACUGCCUGGCCUCUGCUCUUCUGGAAAAUCAUCAUCCCCAUUGGCAUUAGGAAGUCCAAUGGCGGUUGUCUCUUUAGUCUUGCAUUGGCAUAUGAGAUGCUAGAGAUACUGCUGAGGCCAGUACAGCCCCUUCAACUUAUAUCUUCCCCCAGUUCAUGACAAGAGAGUGUCUACUCAUUGAUGGCAUUUUAUGUCAUCACCACCCGGCUUGUCAUAAUGCCUGGAUUCAAAUCUUAGUUUUGCUAGUUGCUUGUAGUAUGCCCUUGGGCAAGUUACUCUGUGUCUCAGUUUCUCUCCCUGUAAAAUGGGAAUAAAAGAGUACUUACCUUUGGGCUGUUGGUUGGUUUCAGUGGGUUAAUAUGUAAUUGCUUAAAACAGCACCUUACAUGUCAUAAGCCUUUACAGAAUAUUAGCUAUUAUCAUUCUUAUUAAAGUAAAAAAACAUUCACCAGAACGCUAACCAUUUUUGUUCAGCAUCAGUCUGGAAAUGAUAAAAAGCAAUUAGACCAAUAAGUGAGGUCAAAUAUUGGAGAAGGGACAAAAUUAUUUAUAGAUUAUAAAGUUGACCACUUGGAAAAAUUCAAGAAUACCAAUGAAAAGUUCUUCAGAAAAUGAGAGAAUACAGUAAAGUCAACAGUUUUUUUUUUUUUUUUUUAACAUUCAAAGUAGCCAUCCAAAAUACUAAAUAAUUAGGGGGUACAUCCUUACAAAGUCACAGUACUUAUGUGAAGGAAACUGUGAAACUUUAAAAGCAGCUAGAGCUUUUCUUCUUUCGGCUCGGGGGAGGCCAAGGGGCAACUUUCUUCGGUCAUCCCAGAUUCGGGUUCUUCUGACACCAGCCACCUCCACCAUGCCACAGAAGUCAGACCCCAGUAAGAUUAAAGUCGCACACCUGAGGUGCACCUGUAGAGAAGUCGGUGCCACAUCUGUCCUGGCCCCCAAGAUUGGCCCCCUGGAUCUGUCUUCAAAAAAAGGUUGGUAAUGACAUAGUCAAGGGGAUGGCGAUUGGAAGAGUCUGAGGAUUACAGUGAAACUGACCACUUAGAAGAGACAGGCCUUGAUUGAGGUGGUUCUUUUGCCUCUGCCCUGAUCAUCAAAGCUCUCAAGGAACCGCCAAGAGACAGAAUGAAGCAGGAAAAUCAUUAAGCACAAUAGAAACAUCACUUUUGAUGAGAUUGUCAACAUUGCCUGACAGAUGUGGCACUGAUCUUUGGCUAGAGAACUCUCCGGAACCAUUAAAGAGAUCCCAGGGACUGCCCAGUCUGUGGGCUGCUGUGUUGAUGGCUGCCACCCUCAUGACAUCAACAGUGGUGUGAUGAACUGUCCAGCUAGUUAAGAACUACAAAGUAAAGAAAAUAAAGGGUUGUUUGACAACUAAGAAAAAAAAAUAAAUAAAAGCAGUUAGAUAUGGGAGUUCCCUGGUGGAUCAGCAGGUUAAGGAUCUGGCAUUGUCACUGCCAUGGCCCAGGUUCAACCCCUGGCCUGGAAACUUCCACAUGCCAUGGGUGUGGCCAGAAAAAAGAAAAGCAGCUAGAAAUUUCCUGCGUUGUAUAUAUAUCAGUUUUGUAAUUGGAAAAAAAAUGAGGGUAAAAUUAAGGAAAUCUAAGGGCUCCAUGACUCAGCCAAUCUCUGCUCUCAUGUUCUGGGUCUCAAGUUUACGUAGAGGUUCUGGAAAAACAGAGACAAUAAGCAAGUAUAUAGUGAAGCCCAGUAUUGUGGCAGCAUCUUACACUAUAACAAAGAAGAGAUUAAAGCCCAAGGAGAUUCUAGGCCAUUCUUUUGAAUGGUUCUUCAAUACAACAUUUUCUUACUACUAAGAAAUUCAUUUUGGGGAAUUCUCAUUGUGGCAGAGUGGAAAUGAAUCCAACUAGUAUCCAUGAGGAUGUGGGUUCGAUCCCUGGCCUCGCUCAGUGUGUUUGGGAUCUGGCGUUGUCAUGAGCUGUGGUGUAGGUCACAGAUGUAGCUUGGAUCCUGUGUUGCUGUGGCGGUGGCGUAGUCUGGCAGUUGAUAGUUCUGAUUUGACCCCUAGCCCAGAACUUCCAUAUGCCACAGAUGCAACCCUAAAAAAAAAAAUUCAUUUUGGAGUUCCCUGGUGGCUCAGCAGAUUAAGCAUCUGAUGUCACUGCUGAGGUUUGGAUCACUGCUAUGGUGGGGGUUUGAUCCCUGGCCUGGAAACUU